rnacentral:rRNA from 1 species
AUACGUAGGUGACAAGCGUUAUCCGGAUUUACUGGGUGUAAAGGGCGUGUAGGCGGUUUAGCAAGUCUGAAGUGAAAUUCCCGGGCUUAACUUGGGCGCUGCUUCUGAAACUGCUUUACUUGAGUGCUGGAGAGGAUAGUGGAAUUCCUAGUUUAGCGGUAAAAUGCGCAGAUAUUAGGAGGAACACCGGUGGCGAAGGCGGCUAUCUGGACAGUAACUGACGCUGAGGCGCGAAAGCACGGGGAGCAAACAGGAUUAGAUACCCUGGUAGUCCGUGCCGUAAACGAUGAAUACUAGGUGUAGGGGGUAUCGACUCCCUCUGUGCCGCAGUUAACACAUUAAGUAUUCCACCUGGGGAGUACGGCCGCAAGGUUGAAACUCAAAGGAAUUGACGGGG